AUGAUCUACAGACGGCAGUGCAAGAAUGAACAACUCAAAGCAAAGAUACCAACACAACCCAAUUUUAUGCCUGACAGAAAACGCCGCGCCUCCGCAAAAGUUUGUAGAAUUUCCCGCAGCUCCUGUGGAGAGGAACUAGGCGAUCGCGGGCAUGUCCUUGAGCCACGCAUCGAGCGGCUUGCCGAUGGAGUAGACGAUGAAGCCGAUCUCCCUCAGCUUCUCGGCGUCGACGACGUUGCGCCCGUCGAAGACGAAGGCCGGCUUCUGCAUGUUGUCGAAGAUCUUCUGGUAGUCCAGCUCCUUGAACUCGUUCCACUCGGUCAGGAUGCACACGGCGUGGGCCCCCUUGGUGGCCUCGUACGCGUCCCACACCACGCUCACCUGCUUGAUAGCCGAUGGGCUCGUCGGCUGCAGGUGCAUGGGGUGGUCCCAGUCGAACUUGUUCAUGGCGAGGUCCCGCUGGAUCUGCUCCUCGGUGACCUCGGGAUCGUAGAUGCUGACAUGGGCCUUGUCACCCAGCAGGCCCUUGCAUACGUCGAUCGCCGGGGUCUCCCUGGUGUCACCAGUGUCCUUCUUGAAGGCGAACCCGAGGACGGCGACCUUCUUGCUGGAGACGGUGUUGAACAUGGAGGACACGACACGGUUGACGAACCUGCUCUUCUGGUAGUCAUUGAUCUUGAUCACCUGCUUCCAGUAGUUGGCCACCUCGGGGAGGCCGUUGCACUCGCAGAUGUACACCAGGUUCAAGAUGUCCUUCUGGAAACAGGACCCGCCGAACCCAACGCUGGCGUUCAGGAACUUGGGGCCGAUCCUGGAAUCCUUACCGAUGGCGUAAGACACCUCGGACACGUUGGCGCCGGUGGCCUCGCAGAGCGCGGACAUGGCAUUCACGGAGGAGAUCCUCUGGGCCAAGAACGCAUUGGCAGCGAGCUUGGAGAGCUCAGCAGACCACAGGUUGGUGGUGAUGAUGUUCUCCUCAGGAACCCAGUGGGCGUACACCUCCUUGAGAGCCUGAACCGCCUUCCUGCCCUCGGGGGUCUCCCGACCACCGAUAAGCACUCUGUCAGGCUUGAACAAGUCCUCGAUAGCCGUGCCCUCGGCCAGGAACUCCGGGUUGGAGAGGAUCUGGUAGUUGAUGCCCUUGCUGUUGUGGGUCAAGAUCUUCUCAAUGGCCUCUGCAGUCUUGACAGGGACAGUGGACUUCUCAACGACGAUCUUGUCGGACUUGGACACGUCGGCGAUCAUACGGGCAGCGCUCUCCCAAUAGGUGAGGUUCCUGCCCCUGCAUGCCUUGACAACCUCGUCAAGGCCAGGCUCGUAGAUCGGGAGUUUGUCGCUGUUCCAAGCGUCAAUGCGAGGCUUGGAGAUGUCAACAACAACAACCUCAAUUGCUGGGCACUUGACGGCAAUGACAGCCAUUGUUGGGCCGCCGACAUAGCCAGCUCCGAUGCAGCAGAUCUUCACCAUCUUACGCUCACCAGAUCUCAAGAGCCGAGGGAGAUCUCGACAAGCACACUGCCGCAGAGAAGAAACAGAGAGAUGCUGCGUGCCUACAAGUUGUGUGCAGAGAGAAGGCUGCAGCUCCUUAUAUAUACCACUCUCCACACUGCCCACACCGUGUUGGAUCUACCCCUCCCCCCACUCCCCCCCUUGGAGGAAAAAAAACGUGGCAAGGUUGGUAAGAAAUCAUGA
rnacentral:rRNA from 1 species